CCUUUUCAAAGAGAGCUAGUCUAUAUGAGUCUCUGCUAAUGCUCUGCAUGCUUAUGCCUGAGCUAUUUAUUAUGGACUUCGUUAUUAACCUGUUUGAUUUGUCAUUUUAUUGCAUAUGUAUUUUCAGUGGAGAUAUUUACACUGAGCUUUAUUUAUUUAUACCAUAGUAUAUUAACCAUAAAACUAUCUAAGUAUGCCCAAACCACUAUGAUCUGCAGCCCUCAGGGAAAGGGGUUUUCAGGAUAGCCAAGCCUUAAGAGUUAGCAGUGGCUGAUGGUGUUGGAAAUCUUGCUAAAGGACCUCUGGGAUUAUGAGCAGAGUCUCACAAAAUGUUGAUGCUAACCCAGGGUCUGAAGUACAAGAUGGACUGCUUGGAGGACUUGCUACCUGUUUGUUUUAGUUCCUUCUGACAUUCCUUGAACUGGUUGUGUGCCCUCCAUUGCUGCCAGCAGUACUUCUCCUGGUCCUGCUGUAGAUUCCCUAUGCCCUAGCUUGGCUUUGUAGAUUUGGAGACUAGGUCAUAGUGCUGGCCUCUAAUGUGGAAUGGUCACUUGCAGGCACCACCUUAAGGACCAGCAUGCAGUUCUGUGAGUUUUGUUGUUUCGUUUUUACCACUAAAGUGACAGGAUGGGACUUGCCCUGACUCCUCCUUUCCCACUUUGGUGUCCCAUAUUUCCCUCUAAGACCCAUUCUAAUCCGAGGAGGGGAACACUGGGAUUUAAGCUAGUUAAACACUCAAGAAUAAGAAAGUCAAGCUUAUAACAGGCCAUAUCUAAAGUUCGGUUUAUUAAGCACUGCCUUUAUGGUGAUAGUGUUUGUCUUCUCAGUUCUCCUUCUCUAUCUGUCUUUGUGGAGCUGCUCACAGACAAAGCGCCUGUGCACGCUAGGCAAGCGCCUUACCUGUGAGAGCAUCCUCAAAUCUCUUCCUUCACUUCCAACUCCCAAACAGACCUUUUUUUGGCUUGUACUCUUGGGGACUAAAGCUAAAGCUUUAAUUCUUAAAAAGCUCCGAAAAGACCCAUGAUGACUCUAAUUCUUCUCUCUGCUGUGCAUGCUGUUAAGGUUCAUCAGACACUCCAUCCUCCUUGACACCGUCACUGUUGGGUGUGCCACCAGGUGACCCUUAGGCUCAAAGCCUCAGGACUCAUAAGCUCCUUUUCACAUGCUCUGGAGUCUUCAGUGACUUGCCUCCUCAAGUCUUCAGAGCAUUCAGGAAUUAAGCUGUUCCAUUCUCUGAACUGAGUGGCCUGCAAAGCCUAUGCCUCAAGAGACUGGCUCCAGGUCAUACCACAGUUAGUACCUUCGGGUGGACCUAGAUCCUCUGUUUUCAGGGCCCAUAGGGUUUGCUUCUUAUUCCAAAAUAAGAGUGUGGGUUGAAUAACAGGUAAGAUCUAGUUAUGACUGUGUAGAUAGGGCUGCCAAACCCUCUGCACAUGGUAUGUGGGCUCACACUGAGGGAGGAGGGAGAGGGAACGUGAUCCAAGGGACAUGUGAUCCCGAGGGGGAUGUGGGGACAGUGGAGAGAACAUUCAUGUGGGAUCUAGUAACUGACUCCAGCUGACUGCUCAGGCACAGUAAUUGGGGGAAGUUAGUAACAAACACGCUGGCUUUAGUGAUUACUGUAGUUACAAUGUUUUUAGAAAACUGGGUAUUUGUUUGGUUUGGUUUUGGCCAUAUAUUUGCUUAUUUGUUGUUAUUUUGCCAGAGUAUCUCCUGGUGUAGUCCAGGCUGGCCUCUAUUUCCCAAAUGCUGGGGUCAUAGGCAUAUACCACCACACCAGCCUUACCAUGUUAUUAGUCAGUUAAUAAAAUUAUUGGUUUUCAAAACGAGGGACAUGAGCAUUUGGGAAUGAGGUUCAAUCCAUUUCUUUCUUUGCUUCGAUGCUGGAGAUUGAACGUAGGGUUUCAUACAUGUAGGCAGGCACUCACUAAGCUACUCCCAGCUCCUGGGACACUUCUCAGUGCAAAAACACUGCUGAACCGCUUAGAGUAAAAGUGAAAAGUCUCUUUUCAGUUUAAAAAAUAUAGUUUUGAGAGUUUGGAAAACAGAAGUGCCUUUGCCAAGUAAUUACUUAUACAUCUGGAUUUUAUUGUGUGUAUGUGUGUGUGUGCAUGUGUGCACGUGUGUGUAUGUUCUAGAGUGCAUGUAUGUGUGUGUAUGCAUGCCAUGGGCAGAAUGUGGAACAGCUUUCAGGAGUCAUUGAUCUCCUUCCACCAUGUGGGUCCGAGGAAUUGAGCCCAUGUCACCCAGCUUCGCAGCAAGACCAUUAUCCACUGUACCACCUAGCAGGUCCUUGUUUACAGAGUCAGUGGUUUAUCAUGUUAGGAACAAUUAAUGAUACCCAACAGCAAAUAAAGAAUUGUUAAUGACAAAAUAUAUGAAGCCAGUGGUCUUUUAAGAUGUCAUAUAUUGUAUGGAUUAAUAUUUCAAUAAACCUCCAGAGAACUUGUA
ensembl:lincRNA Gm21817 predicted gene, 21817